CACGUAGGGAGCAAGCGUUGUCCGGAUUUAUUUGGGCGUAAAGAGCUCGUAGGUGGUUCGGUAAGUCAGGUGUGAAACCUCCAGGCUCAACCUGGAGACGCCACUUGAUACUGCUGUGACUGGAGUCCGGUAGGGGGAGCGUGGAAUUCCUGGUGUAGCGGUGAAAUGCGCAGAUAUCAGGAAGAACACCCCUGGCGAAGGCGGUUUCUCUGGGGACGGGUACUGACGCUGAGACGCGAAAAGCUGGGGGAGCGAACAGG
rnacentral:rRNA from 1 species